GUCCGGGUGGCGGAAUGGCAGACGCGCUAGCUUGAGGUGCUAGUGUCCUCAGGGACGUGGGGGUUCAAGUCCCCCUCCGGACA
rnacentral:tRNA from 1 species